rnacentral:rRNA from 1 species
GAUGAACGCUGGCGGCGUGCCUAACACAUGCAAGUCGAACGAAGCUGUUUAACGGAAGCCUUCGGGUGGAAGUUAAAUAGACUGAGUGGCGGACGGGUGAGUAACGCGUGGGUAACCUGCCCUACACAGGGGGACAACAGCUGGAAACGGCUGCUAAUACCGCAUAAGCGCACAGUACCGCAUGGUACAGUGUGAAAAACUCCGGUGGUGUAGGAUGGACCCGCGUCCGAUUAGCUAGUUGGUGAGGUAAGAGCUCACCAAGGCGACGAUCGGUAGCCGGCCUGAGAGGGCGGACGGCCACAUUGGGACUGAGACACGGCCCAGACUCCUGCGGGAGGCAGCAGUGGGGGAUAUUGCGCAAUGGGGGAAACCCUGACGCAGCAACGCCGCGUGAUUGAAGAAGGCCUUCGGGUUGUAAAGAUCUUUAAUCAGGGACGAAGGAAGUGACGGUACCUGAAGAAUAAGCUCCGGCUAACUACGUGCCAGCAGCCGCCGUAAAAC